CAACCUCAACUCAUAUGGGACUACCCCCUGAAUUUAAGCAUAUUAAUUAGGGGAGGAAAAGAAACUAACAAGGAUUUUCUUAGUAGCGGCGAGCGAAAAGAAAUCAGUUCAGCACUAAGUCACUUUGUCUAUAUGGCAAAUGUGAGAUGCAGUGUAUGGAGCGUCAAUAUUCUAGUAUGAGAAAUUAACGAUUUAAGUCCUUCUUAAAUGAGGCCAUUUACCCAUAGAGGGUGCCAGGCCCGUAUAACGUUAAUGAUUACUAGAUGAUGUUUCCAAAGAGUCGUGUUGCUUGAUAGUGCAGCACUAAGUGGGUGGUAAACUCCAUCUAAAACUAAAUAUAACCAUGAGACCGAUAGUAAACAAGUACCGUGAGGGAAAGUUGAAAAGAACUCUGAAUAGAGAGUUAAAUAGUACGUGAAACUGCUUAGAGGUUAAGCCCGAUGAACCUGAAUAUCCAUUAUGGAAAAUUCAUCAUUAAAGUUAUAAUAUUUAAAUAAUAUUAUAGAAAUAGUGUGCAUUUUUUCCAUAUAAGGACAUUGUAAUCUAUUAACAUAUAUAAUUUAUCAUAAAAUAUGACUUAUAGUUUAUUCAAAUUAUUAUGCUUGCAUUUUAACAUAGGAUAAAUGUCAUUAAUUUGAUAAAGUGUUGAUAGAUUAAUAAGAAUACAGUGCGUUAAUUUUUCGGAAUUAUAUAAUGGCAUAAUUAUCAUUGAUUUUUGUGUUUAUUAUAUGCACUUGUAUGAUUAACAAUGCGAAAGAUUCAGGAUACCUUCGGGACCCGUCUUGAAACACGGACCAAGGAGUCUAACAUAUGUGCAAGUUAUUGGGAUAUAAACCUAAUAGCGUAAUUAACUUGACUAUUAAUGGGAUUAGUUUUUUAACUAUUUUAUAGUUAAUUAACACAAUCCCGGGGCGUUCUAUAUAGUUAUGUAUAAUAAUAUUUAUAUUAUUUAUGCCUCUAACUGGAACGUACCUUGAGCAGAUAUGCUGUGACCCGAAAGAUGGUGAACUAUACUUGAUCAGGUUGAAGUCAGGGGAAACCCUGAUGGAAGACCGAAACAGUUCUGACGUGCAAAUCGAUUGUCAGAAUUGAGUAUAGGGGCGAAAGACCAAUCGAACCAUCUAGUAGCUGGUUCCUUCCGAAGUUUCCCUCAGGAUAGCUGGUGCAUUUUAAUGUUAUAUAAAAUAAUCUUAUCUGGUAAAGCGAAUGAUUAGAGGCCUUAGGGUCGAAACGAUCUUAACCUAUUCUCAAACUUUAAAUGGGUAAGAACCUUAACUUUCUUGAUAUGAAGUUUAAGGUUAUGAUAUAAUGUGCCCAGUGGGCCACUUUUGGUAAGCAGAACUGGCGCUGUGGGAUGAACCAAACGUAAUGUUACGGUGCCCAAAUUAACAACUCAUGCAGAAACCAUGAAAGGCGUUGGUUGCUUAAAACAGCAGGACGGUGAUCAUGGAAGUCGAAAUCCGCUAAGGAGUGUGUAACAACUCACCUGCCGAAGCAACUAGCCCUUAAAAUGGAUGGCGCUUAAGUUGUAUACCUAUACAUUACCGCUAAAGUAGAUGAUUUAUAUUACUUGUAAUAUAAAUUUUGAAACUUUAGUGAGUAGGAAGGUACAAUGGUAUGCGUAGAAGUGUUUGGCGUAAGCCUGCAUGGAGCUGCUAUUGGUACAGAUCUUGGUGGUAGUAGCAAAUAAUCGAAUGAGACCUUGGAGGACUGAAGUGGAGAAGGGUUUCGUGUGAACAGUGGUUGAUCACGAGUUAGUCGGUCCUAAGUUCAAGGCGAAAGCCGAAAAUUUUCAAGUAAAAAUAAAUAUUACAAUUAUUGUGAAAAUUAUAUACUUGAAUAAUUUUGAACGAAAGGGAAUACGGUUCCAAUUCCGUAACCUGUUGAGUAUCCGUUUGUUAUUAAAUAUGGGCCUCGUGCUCAUCCUGGCAACAGGAACGACCAUAAAGAAGCCGUCGAGAGAUAUCGGAAGAGUUUUCUUUUCUGUUUUAUAGUCGUACUACCAUGGAAGUCUUUCGCAGAGAGAUAUGGUAGAUGGGCUAGAAGAGCAUGACAUAUACUGUUGUGUCGAUAUUUUCUCCUCGGACCUUGAAAAUUUAUGGUGGGGAUACGCAAACUUCUCAACAGGCCGUACCAAUAUCCGCAGCUGGUCUCCAAGGUGAAGAGUCUCUAGUCGAUAGAAUAAUGUAGGUAAGGGAAGUCGGCAAAUUAGAUCCGUAACUUCGGGAUAAGGAUUGGCUCUGAAGAUUGAGAUAGUCGGGCUUGAUUGGGAAACAAUAAUAUGGUUUAUGUGCUCGUUCUGGGUAAAUAGAGUUAUAAUCAUUUAUGGUUGUAACUUGUUCCCCGGAUAGUUUAGUUACGUAUCCAAUUGUGGAACUUUCUUGCUAAAAUUUUUAAGAAUACUAGUUGGGUCAAACCAAUUAGUUCUUAUUAAUUAUAACGAUUAUCAAUUAACAAUCAAUUCAGAACUGGCACGGACUUGGGGAAUCCGACUGUCUAAUUAAAACAAAGCAUUGUGAUGGCCCUAGCGGGUGUUGACACAAUGUGAUUUCUGCCCAGUGCUCUGAAUGUAAGUGAAGAAAUUCAAAGCAUUGUGAUGGCUCGACUCAAAACCCCCUCAAAGUAUUCUCUGGGUACUAGCUUUUGCUGGCCUAGCUGGUGUUGAGGGCACAAUGUGAUUUCUGCCCAGUGCUCUGAAUGUCAAAUUGGUGAAGAAAUUCACAAAAAUUAAAAAAAAAAAAAAAAAAGUAUGAGCGUGGUGCAGCGGUUAACCUUUCAGGUCGGGUGCCCUGCACGAUAUGUGGAAUGUCGUUCAACUCCAAGAGGGGUUUGGGCGUCCACAUGUCACAUCGACACAAAGACGAACUUGAUACACAACGUCUUCGUGUUGAUAAAAAAGCGAGGUGGUCAGAGGAAGAAACGUUGAUGAUGGCGAGAAAGGAGGUCGAGCUUGCAGCAAGUGGUAUUCGACAUCUAAAUAAAAAGCUAGCGGAAAUUUUUACACACCGCAGUUCCGAUGCAAUUUCUUCAUAUCGGAAGAGGGGUGAAUAUAAGGCAAAACUGGAACAGAUAAGAGGGCAAUCUGUUCCCACCCCAGAAGCAUUAGAGUCGAAUACCUCACAGCGCCGCCCUAGUAAUAGCGAGCAAAACCGACGAGUAUCAACAUCAUCUUCGGGACCAAUCAGACCACACGAACAGACGAACAGCGAAAUCCUCAGGGUACUACAGGGCUUGCCCCAGUAGUAUGCGAUUCCCGGUGGAGAGCCGAGGUCCUGCAAACUAUCGUAGAUAAUGCGCAGGUCUCGGGACAGGAAACCACUCUCCAAAGUUUAUCUUGCUAUCUCAUGGAAAUUUUUCCGCCACGGAAUGAACCGCACAUUCUGACGAGGCCCCGAACGGAGCCUCGAAAUAUGAGACAGCGUAGAAGGCAGCAGUACGCUAGGGUUCAGCGUAACUGGGAUAAACAUCCGGGAAGAUGCAUAAAGUCCCUGCUGGAGGGCGCUGACGAGUCGGUGCAGCCACCCCAGGAAAUUAUGGAGCCAUAUUGGAAACAGAUAAUGACCACGCCUAGCUCAGCUCCAUCGAACACGCCUCGUUCCACAUGGAACAUUCGUUGGAGAGAGUAUGGUCCGCUGUGAACCAGCGCGAUCUUAGGGCCCAUAAGGUCAAAUUAUCAGGUUCUCCAGGCCCGGACGGGAUUACUCCAAGAACUGCCAGGAGUAUCCCCGAUGGCAUUAUGCUACGCAUAAUGAACUUAAUUCUCUGGUGUGGGAGACUUCCGUACUCCAUCCGUCUGGCCAGAACCAUCUUCAUCCCGAAGAUGGCGACGGCAAGUCGUCCGCAAGACUAUCGUCCUAUUUCAGUCCCCUCGGUUUUGGUUAGGCAACUAAAUGCCAUUUUGGCAGCCCGGUUGAUUAGUGCAGUCAACUGGGAUUCGCGUCAGCGAGGGUUCCUACCGACCGAUGGGUGUGCUGACAAUACGACGAUUGUUGAUUUAGUUCUAAGGGAACAUCAUAAGCGAUUUAAAUCGUGCUACAUCGGGACCCUCGAUGUUGUAAAGCCUUUGAUGCGGUAGCUCCAAGCGGUCUACAACCAUUGGCUUCGUAUGGUGCCCCACAGGACUAAUCAACUCAUACGGAAUUCGUACGAGGGCGGCGGCCAUGCUAACUGGGAACGGGUGGGUUUCAAGGGGUUCAUUCCUGCAAGAGGCGUCAAGCAGGGUGACCCUUUGUCUCCCUACUAUUUAAUCUGGUCUUGACCGGUUCUUGGUCCUUACCCGUGAGAUUGGUGCCAAAGUCGGAAACGCUAUGACAAAUGCGGCUGCGUUCGCAGAUGAUAUAGUCCUUUUGCGGAAACUCCGAUGGGCCUUCAGAAAUUGUUGGACACCCGUUGGCUUUCUCUCCUCUGUGGGCCUCACCCUUAACACUGACAAGUGUUUCCUGUCGCAUAAAGGGGCAGCCAAGCAAAAGUGUACUGUCGUGGAACGGCGGAGCUUUUUGAUUGGGGGCGCGAGGUUCCUUCCUGAAGCGCACUGACGAGUGGAAGUUUUGGGUUAAAUUCACUGCGGAUGGGCGGGUCCGGUACAAUCCAGCUGAGGAGUUGCAACCGAAGCUGUUGAGAUUGACUCGGCCCCCUGAAGCCCGCAGAAGUUAUUUGCCCUUCGGACUGUCCUUAUCCCACAACUCUAUCCAGCUGACCCUUGGGAGUGUGACGAUGGCGUUCUGAAGAAAUUUGACACAUUGGUUCGAUAUACCGCACGGAAGUGGUUGAGGCUUCCGGUAGACGUACCAACUUCUUUUUCCAUGCCCCCCGAAGUGGGGUCUCGGGUUCCAUCGUUGAGAUGGAUAGCACCGAUGCUUCGUUUGAAGCGAUUGAGCAGUAUAAAUGGCCUCCCUCGAGCAAUCCGAGGUGCCAGCUCUUUCGUGGAAGACGAAAUGCGGAGGGCCCGGGAUAGGCUUCAGGCUGGAAGUCAAGAGUUGUUAACCCGUCUCGGUAGAUUCGUACUUGGCAAAUAGGUUGCCAUGUCUGUUGAUGGUGGCGGGCUCCGUGAAGCAGAGCGUUUUGCUCCGCACACGGAUGGGUUGUCCAACCCACGCGUUUGCUAACAGGAAGGGAAUAUACAGAAGGUCAAACUGCGGAUAAAUGCCCUACCCUCAAGGUCUCGUACCACGAGGGGAAGGCACGAAUUGGGAAGACGGUGCCGUGCAGGAUGUGAUGCUCCCGAAACAACAAACCACAUCUUGCGCAAUGCUAUCGUACUCAUGGGAGGAGGUGCUCGGCACGACGGCGUAGUAAAUCUAAUCAAGCGGGGACUUGAGAGGAAAGGCUGCGUCGUUCAUGUUGAACCAAGUCUGCAGGGCGAGACCGGAUUGAAUAAACCCGACCUGGUAGCUAUCCGACAAAAUCCAUUUAUGUGAUUGACGCGCAGGUAGUGACCGACGGACAUUCUCUCGACCAAGCGCAUCAGCGCAAAGUCGAGAAGUACGAGACACCGGACAUACGGACGAAUUUGCGGAGACUUUUCGGCUCGCAACAUGUUGUUGAGUUCCAUUCCGCCACUGUGAACUGGAGAGGAAUUGGAGCGGUCAGUCGGUAAAACGGCUGAUUGCUUCAGACCUCCUCGCACUAGUGAUAGUCAUAUCAUUAGUGUCCGGGUAAUCAGUGGUGGUCUCUGGAGUUGGCGACAAUUUAUGUAUCUGUCGGGAUACACGCGUGAUUGGACUUAGUCUGCAUCACGUUCAUAUUAAAAGCUUGCUGCCGUAGCAUAACAUCUAAAAACGGCAUAAAAUUCGCUUAAAAACGAGGCGGUUUUUAGUACGUAGGCGUCUUCUGGGUCGUAUGAACCCACAAGAUGAAUCGUGCAUGCACACUCUUAUUGGCUAAAUAACAUCAUAACCUGAGUGUGUUCUUUUGAAGAUUUUUACGAUCCUUGCGAAAAAAAAAAAAAAAAAAAUAGCCAAAUGCCUCGUCAUCUAAUUAGUGACGCGCAUGAAUGGAUUAACGAGAUUCCUUCUGUCCCUAUCUACUAUCUAGCGAAACCACAGCCAAGGGAACGGGCUUGGAAUAAUUAGCGGGGAAAGAAGACCCUUUUGAGCUUGACUCUAAUCUGGCAGUGUAAGGAGACAUAAGAGGUGUAGAAUAAGUGGGAGAUAUUAGACUUCGGUUUGGUAUCGACAAUGAAAUACCACUACUCUUAUUGUUUCCUUACUUACUUGAUUAAAUGGAACGUGUAUCAUUUCCUAGCCAUUAUACGGAUAUAUUUAUUAUAUCUUAUGGUAUUGGGUUUUGAUGCAAGCUUCUUGAUCAAAGUAUCACGAGUUUGUUAUAUAAUCGCAAACAAAUUCUUUAAUGAGAGAUGCAUUCAUGUAUUAUCGAUUUGAAAAUUUGGUAUAACUCCAAUUACUCAGGUAUGAUCCAAUUCAAGGACAUUGCCAGGUAGGGAGUUUGACUGGGGCGGUACAUCUCUCAAAUAAUAACGGAGGUGUCCCAAGGCCAGCUCAGUGCGGACAGAAACCACACAUAGAGCAAAAGGGCAAAUGCUGACUUGAUCUCGGUGUUCAGUACACACAGGGACAGCAAAAGCUCGGCCUAUCGAUCCUUUUGGUUUAAAGAGUUUUUAACAAGAGGUGUCAGAAAAGUUACCAUAGGGAUAACUGGCUUGUGGCGGCCAAGCGUUCAUAGCGACGUCGCUUUUUGAUCCUUCGAUGUCGGCUCUUCCUAUCAUUGUGAAGCAAAAUUCACCAAGCGUUGGAUUGUUCACCCAUGCAAGGGAACGUGAGCUGGGUUUAGACCGUCGUGAGACAGGUUAGUUUUACCCUACUAAUGACAAAACGUUGUUGCGACAGCAUUCCUGCGUAGUACGAGAGGAACCGCAGGUACGGACCAAUGGCACAAUACUUGUUCGAGCGAACAGUGGUAUGACGCUACGUCCGUUGGAUUAUGCCUGAACGCCUCUAAGGUCGUAUCCGUGCUGGACUGCAAUGAUAAAUAAGGGGCAAUUUGCAUUGUAUGGCUUCUAAACCAUUUAAAGUUUAUUAUUUAUAUUUUAAACGACAAUGGAUGUGAUGCCAAUGUAAUUUGUAACAUAGUAAAUUGGGAGGAUCUUUGAUCACCUGAUGCCAUGCUAGUUACAUAUGAAAACAUUAUUUAAUACAAUGACAAAGCCUAGAAUCAAUUGUAAACGACUUUUGUAACGGGCAAGGUGUUGUAAGUGGUUGAGCAGCUGCCAUACUGCGAUCCACUGAAGCUUAUCCUUUGCUUGAUGAUUCGA